rnacentral:rRNA from 1 species
AUGGAGUGCAAGGCGGCGAGCGAGUCGUCUUCGUCCUCGUCCGCUCCCUCUUCUUCCAUGGAUAGCUGUGGCGCCGGCGGGCCGCGGGCGACGGUCUCCACGGCGUCGUCCUGCUACCGGCCGGCGAUCCACAGGGACCUAAGCACGGACCUUCACCUCGGGCUCAGCCUGCGGUCGUGCUCCUCCUCCUUCCACACGGCUGACGGCGUCUCCGCUUCCACUCCAAGGAGCACCCUGACGACGACGACGAUGAGGCCAGCGGCGCCGUCGCCGGAUCCGGCGUACGAGAGAGGCGGCGGCGGCAGCCAUGGGCAGCAGUCGCUAUUUGUGAAGGUGUACAUGGAGGGCGUCCCCAUCGGCCGGAAGCUGGAUCUGCUGCUGCUGGACGGCUACGACGGACUCCUCGCCGUCCUAGGCCGCAUGUUCAAGGCCUCCAUCAUACAUCCGGAUACCGUCGGCCGUGAUCACCGAGUGGUUCUUGGGGAGAAGCAGGCUCGCCAUGUUGUCACUUAUCAAGACCAGGAGGGGGACUGGCUGAUGGCCGGGGACGUGCCGUGGGAGCUAUUCCUGGCGGGUGUGAAGAAAUUGAAGAUUGCAAGGGUGGAUAGUAGCAUCUCUGAUUGA